UACGUAGGGGGCAAGCGUUGUCCGGAAUUAUUGGGCGUAAAGAGCUCGUAGGCGGUCCGUCACGUCGGCUGUGAAAACCCGGGGCUCAACUCCGGGCCUGCAGUCGAUACGGGCGGACUAGAGUACUGCAGGGGAGACUGGAAUUCCUGGUGUAGCGGUGAAAUGCGCAGAUAUCAGGAGGAACACCGGUGGCGAAGGCGGGUCUCUGGGCAGUAACUGACGCUGAGGAGCGAAAGCGUGGGGAGCGAACAGG
rnacentral:rRNA from 1 species